rnacentral:rRNA from 1 species
CCCUCUUUCCACCGCCCUAGUAUAUACUUUCAGUUGGGGCAACUACGGAGCAGAACAAAAACUCCACGGACGAACGUCUAAUACACGCAGUACUUCAGGCUGCCACGCCACACACCCCAGACCUUAGACCCAGUCUAACUGAGCAACGGACCAAGUUACCCUAGGGAUAACAGCGCUAUCUUCCCCCCAGAGCCCAUAUCCACGGGGAGGCUUACGACCUCGAUGUUGGAUCAGGACCCCCCGGCGGUGCAGCCGCUGCCAAAGGUUCGUUUGUUCAACGACUAACGUCCU